rnacentral:lncRNA from 1 species
UUAAGCUUAUGAGUCAUUACAUCCGGUGGAAUGCCUGUCAUAUCAGCAUGGGACCAGGCAAAACAAUCUACGUUAGCUUUUAAAAAUUCAGUUAACUUACCUCGCAUGUCGGGAUUUAGAUUGGCUCCUACGUAAACUUUUUUCUCUGGUCAUUGUUCAAAUAACACCACGGCCUCGAGUUCUUCUAUUGUCGUUUUGAUGUUCUCGUUUUCUUUAGGUUCUUGAAUUACAUCGGGCCUCGAAUCUAAAUCUGUUGUUUCAAUUGAAGUUUGGUUGCCAACACCUUCAACUUUUUCCAAUAAUUGCUAUUUCUCUUUACUUGCGGUGCUCGUAUAUGUUAUGGCGUUGAUACUCUUGGCUAUUUGUUGAUCCCCUCGAAUUUGACAUAUUCCCCAAGGUGAUGGACAACUGUUUCCAAUAAUUGCUAUUUCUCUUUACUUGCGGUGCUCGUAUCUGUUAUUGCGUUGAUACUCUUGGCUAUUUGUUGAUCCACUCGAAUUUUACAUAUUCCCCAAGGUGAUGGAAAUUUAAAGAUUUGAUGUAAGGUUGAUGGAACAACAUCCAUAUCAUGGAUCCAAGGUUUACCCAUGAUUACAUUAUAUGCCAUUUCCAAAUCCACUACCUGAAACUUAGUUUCUUUAACAACACCUUGCAACAUAAGUUGUCAGAGUUACCUCACCUUUUGUUACCACGCUUGAGUUGUCGAAGCCUGACAAAGCAUGCGCUUUUGGUAUCAUUUUAUCUUCAGCUUGCAUUUCCCGCAGCACUCUUAGUAGAAUGAUAUUUACGGAGCUACCUGGAUCAAUCAAAACUCUUUUUACAUCAGUGGCAUAUACAAUUAAAGAUAUUACCAGAGCGUCGUUAUGCGGUGUAAUCACUAUUUCCAUAUCUGCAUCACUGAAGCUUAUACUCUCAUGUUUUACGGUUUGCCGCACUCGCUUGCCGUGUGUGAUCGUCAUUUUGGAAACUUUGUUUGAAGCCGUGUACAUUACUCCGUAUAUAUCUUCCCCUCCAUUGAUGACAUUUACUACCCUCUUAGGUGAAGGCGGUUUCGGUGGCUCUUGCCUAUUUUUCAUGUAGGCUUGCUUUCCCUUUUCACUGAACAGCUCCNNN